UUGGAGACCUCAAAUCAGGUAGGACUACCCGCUGAACUUAAGCAUAUCAAUAAGCGGAGGAAAAGAAACUAACAAGGAUUCCCCUAGUAACUGCGAGUGAAGCGGGAAAAGCUCAAAUUUGAAAUCUGGCGGUUCUUGACCGUCCGAGUUGUAGUCUAGAGAAGUGUUACCUGUGCUGGACCGUGUAAAAGUCUUCUGGAAUGGAGCAUCAUAGAGGGUGAGAAUCCCGUCUUUGACACGGACUACCUGUACAUUAUGGUGCGCUCUCAAAGAGUCGAGUUGUUUGGGAAUGCAGCUCAAAAUGGGUGGUAAAUGCCAUCUAAAGCUAAAUAUUGGCGAGAGACCGAUAGCGAACAAGUACCGUGAGGGAAAGAUGAAAAGAACUUUGGAAAGAGAGUUAAACAGUACGUGAAAUUGCUGAAAGGGAAACGCUUGAAGUCAGUCGCGUUGGCUGGAAAUCAACCUUGCUCUUGCUUGGUGUACUUUCUGGUUGACGGGUCAGCAUCAAUUUUGACCGCUGGAUAAAGUCUUUGGGAAUGUGGCAUCUUAGGAUGUGUUAUAGCCCAUUGUCGCAUACAGUGGUUGGGAUUGAGGAACUCAGCACGCCGCAAGGCCCGGUUUCGACCACGUUCGUGCUUAGGAUGCUGGCAUAAUGGCUUUAAUCGACCCGUC
rnacentral:rRNA from 1 species